CCAAGGAGUCUAACAUGUGCGCGAGUCAUUGGGAACAUUGAAACCUAAAGGCGCAAUGAAAGUGAAGGUCCAGCCUCGCGCUGACCGAGGGAGGAUGGGCCGCGUCACGAUGCGGCCCCGCACUCCCGGGGCGUCUCGUUCUCAUUGCGAGAUGAGGCGCACCCAGAGCGUACACGUUGGGACCCGAAAGAUGGUGAACUAUGCCUGGUCAGGACGAAGUCAGGGGAAACCCUGAUGGAGGUCCGUAGCGAUUCUGACGUGCAAAUCGAUCGUCGGAACUGGGUAUAGGGGCGAAAGACUAAUCGAACCAUCUAGUAGCUGGUUCCCUCCGAAGUUUCCCUCAGGAUAGCUGGCACUCGCGUACUCAAAGUACACGAGUCUCAUCCGGUAAAGCGAAUGAUUAGAGGCCUUGGGGCCGAAACGACCUCAACCUAUUCUCAAACUUUAAAUGGGUGAGAUCUCUGGCUUGCUCGAACGUUGAAGCCACGAGAUUUCGGAUCAGAGUGCCAAGUGGGCCACUUUU
rnacentral:rRNA from 1 species